rnacentral:rRNA from 1 species
CGUGAGGGAAGAAGGUCUUCGGAUUGUAAACCUCUUUCAGCAGGGACGAAGCGAAAGUGACGGUACCUGCAGAAGAAGCACCGGCUAACUNUGUGCCAGCAGCCGCGGUAAUACAUAGGGUGCAAGCGUUGUCCGGAUUUAUUGGGCGUAAAGAGUUCGUAGGCGGUUUUUCGCGUCGGAUGUGAAAACUCAGGGCUCAACCCUGAGCCUGCAUUCGAUACGGGAAGACUCGAGGACGGCAGGGGAGACUGGAACUUCUGGUGUAGCGGUGGAAUGCGCAGAUAUCAGAAAGAACACCAAUGGCGAAGGCAGGUCUCUGGGCCAGAUCCUGACAGCUCAGGAACGAAAGCGUGGGGAGCUAAACAGGAUUAGAUACCCGCGUAGUCCGGUC